GUGGGGAAUUUUGGACAAUGGGCGCAAGCCUGAUCCAGCAAUGCCGCGUGGGUGAAGAAGGCCUUCGGGUUGUAAACUGCUUUUGUACGGAACGAAACGGUCCGGGUUAAUACCCUGGGCUAAUGACGGUACCGUAAGAAUAAGCACCGGCUAACUACGUGCCAGCAGCCGCGGUAAUACGUAGGGUGCAAGCGUUAAUCGGAAUUACUGGGCGUAAAGCGUGCGCAGGCGGUUUUGUAAGACAGGCGUGAAAUCCCCGGGCUCAACCUGGGAAUUGCGCUUGUGACUGCAAGGCUGGAGUGCGGCAGAGGGGGAUGGAAUUCCGCGUGUAGCAGUGAAAUGCGUAGAUAUGCGGAGGAACACCGAUGGCGAAGGCAAUCCCCUGGGCCUGCACUGACGCUCAUGCACGAAAGCGUGGGGAGCAAACAGGAUUAGAAACCCCUGUAGUCC
rnacentral:rRNA from 1 species